GGGGCUGUGGCGCAGGUGGUAGCGCGCCCCGACAGCAUCGGGGAGGACGGGGGUUCGACUCCCCCCGGCCCCG
rnacentral:tRNA from 1 species